rnacentral:rRNA from 1 species
UGCGCCUUGCCAGCCCGCUCAGAAACUUAAAGGAAUUGACGGGGGCCCGCACAAGCGGAGGAGCAUGUGGUUUAAUUCGAUGAUACGCGAGGAACCUUACCUGGGCUCGAACGUAAGAUGACUGUAGGUGAAAGCUUACAUCUCUUCGGAGCAUUUUACGAGGUGCUGCAUGGUUGUCGUCAGCUCGUGCCGUGAGGUGUCGGGUUAAGUCCCGUAACGAGCGCAACCCUUGUCCUUAGUUACCAGCACGUUAUGGUGGGCACUCUAAGGAGACUGCCGGUGACAAACCGGAGGAAGGUGGGGAUGACGUCAAGUCAUCAUGGCCCUUACGGCCUGGGCUACACACGUGCUACAAUGGUCGGUACAAAGGGUUGCCAAGCCGCGAGGUGGAGCUAAUCCCAUAAAACCGAUCGUAGUCCGGAUCGCAGUCUGCAACUCGACUGCGUGAAGUCGGAAUCGCUAGUAAUCGCGCAUCAGCCAUGGCGCGGUGAAUACGUUCCCGGGCCUU